UACGAAGGGGGCUAGCGUUGUUCGGAAUUACUGGGCGUAAAGCGCGUGUAGGCGGCCCGUUAAGUUGGGUGUGAAAGCCCGGGGCUCAACCCCCGGGGAUGCCGCCCAAGACUGGCGGGCUUGAGGACGGAAGAGGGGCGUGGAAUUCCUGGUGUAGCGGUGAAAUGCGUAGAGAUCAGGAGGAACACCCGUGGCGAAGGCGGCGCCCUGGUCCGUUACUGACGCUGAGAUGCGAAAGCGCGGGGAGCGAACGGG
rnacentral:rRNA from 1 species